rnacentral:rRNA from 1 species
UCGAGCGAACAGACGAGGAGCUUGCUCCUCUGACGUUAGCGGCGGACGGGUGAGUAACACGUGGAUAACCUACCUAUAAGACUGGGAUAACUUCGGGAAACCGGAGCUAAUACCGGAUAAUAUAUUGAACCGUAUGGUUCAAUAGUGAAAGACGGUUUUGCUGUCACUUAUAGAUGGAUCCGCGCCGCAUUAGCUAGUUGGUAAGGUAACGGCUUACCAAGGCAACGAUGCGUAGCCGACCUGAGAGGGUGAUCGGCCACACUGGAACUGAGACACGGUCCAGACUCCUACGGGAGGCAGCAGUAGGGAAUCUUCCGCAAUGGGCGAAAGCCUGACGGAGCAACGCCGCGUGAGUGAUGAAGGUCUUCGGAUCGUAAAACUCUGUUAUUAGGGAAGAACAAAUGUGUAAGUAACUAUGCACGUCUUGACGGUACCUAAUCAGAAAGCCACGGCUAACUACGUGCCAGCAGCCGCGGUAAUACGUAGGUGGCAAGCGUUAUCCGGAAUUAUUGGGCGUAAAGCGCGCGUAGGCGGUUUUUUAAGUCUGAUGUGAAAGCCCACGGCUCAACCGUGGAGGGUCAUUGGAAACUGGAAAACUUGAGUGCAGAAGAGGAAAGUGGAAUUCCAUGUGUAGCGGUGAAAUGCGCAGAGAUAUGGAGGAACACCAGUGGCGAAGGCGACUUUCUGGUCUGUAACUGACGCUGAUGUGCGAAAGCGUGGGGAUCAAACAGGAUUAGAUACCCUGGUAGUCCACGCCGUAAACGAUGAGUGCUAAGUG